GUACUGAGAACCGAAGGUCGAAGGAAGAAAUUCAAUAGCGUGUCGUCGUCGGCGAUAGAUGUGCGUUUGACGGUGGACGGAACGCGCGAUCUUAAUUGAACGCGCGAGUCUCGUUGGUCGCUUUGCACGUCUCUCUCCGUCGAUCCGGCGACGAUCGCGUGCACUUUUCUUCUGGUAGGACGUCGCGAUCCGUCGGGUCGUCGAUCUAAGACGGUCUUAUGCGGAAGAGCCCGUCGGUGGAUGUGCGUUUGUUCGCGCGUCCGAACCGACGGAUCCGCCCGAUCCGAUCGACUCGCUCGACGGUAGAAGAACGGUACGGGGUCGCUGCUUGUAUUAGAGGAGCGUCGGAGCCGUGGCAAACGCGCCGUUCGUUAAAAAGAGGACGUCGAGAGGUCGCUUCACGGCGGCGUUUCGAUGUUCGCCGAUACCGGCGAUCGGAAUUGCCAUUCCGAUUGCGGUCGUUCGGUGCGUUGCGUGUGUGUGGCCGCGGAAUUAGAUCUCCGACCGUUGCCCGUCAGUUAGACCGAUCUGCGACGCUUUAGCUUUGGGUAAUUUCAGGACCCGUCUUGAAACACGGACCAAGGAGUCUAGCAUGCGCGCGAGUCAUUGGGAUAAACUAUAUGNNNNNNNGGGAAAAAAUAUAUGCGAAACCUAAAGGCGCAAUGAAAGUGAAACUCGACGCGUACGUGCAAGCGUACGCGACGGGAAGGGAAGACGAUCGGACGAUGGCGUACGCGCGAGCGCGCGCCGGUCCUUCCGCAUUCCCGGGGCGUUUCGUUCGUUUAAUCGCGACACGAGGCGCACCAAGAGCGUGCACGCUGACCCGAAAGA
rnacentral:rRNA from 1 species